CCUUGGGAACUGCAUUUGAAACUGGUUGACUAGAGUUUUGUAGAGGGUGGUAGAAUUUCAGGUGUAGCGGUGAAAUGCGUAGAGAUCUGAAGGAAUACCAGUGGCGAAGGCGGCCACCUGGACAAAGACUGACACUGAGGCGCGAAGGCGUGGGGAGCAAACGGGAUUAGAUACCCCGGUAGUCCACGCAGUAAACGAUGUCUAUUAGAAGUUUGUGGCUAUAUGCCGUGGGUUUCAAAGCUAACGCAUUAAAUAGACCGCCUGGGGAGUACGGCCGCAAGGUUAAAACUCAAAUGAAUUGACGGGGGCCCGCACAAGCGGUGGAGCAUGUGGUUUAAUUCGAUGCAACGCGAAGAACCUUACCAUCCCUUGACAUCCAGAGAAUCACCUAGAGAUAGAUGAGUGCCUUCGGGAACUCUGAGACAGGUGCUGCAUGGCUGUCGUCAGCUCGUGUUGUGAAAUGUUGGGUUAAGUCCCGCAACGAGCGCAACCCUUAUCCUUAGUUGCCAGCACGUAAUGGUGGGAACUCUAGGGAGACUGCCGGUGAUAAACCGGAGGAAGGUGGGGACGACGUCAAGUCAUCAUGGCCCUUACGGGAUGGGCUACACACGUGCUACAAUGGCAAAUACAAAGGGUUGCUAACCUGCGAGGGUAUGCGAAUCUCAUAAAGUUUGUCGUAGUCCGGAUCGGAGUCUGCAACUCGACUCCGUGAAGUUGGAAUCGCUAGUAAUCGUGGAUCAGAAUGCCACGGUGAAUACGUUCCCGGGCCUUGUACACACCGCCCGUCACACCAUGGGAGUGGGCUGCACCAGAAGUCAUUAGCUUAACCUUCGGGAUGGCGAUGACCACGGUGUGGUUCAUGACUGGGGUGAA
rnacentral:rRNA from 1 species